AGUGAACGUUGGCGGCGUGGAUUAGGCAUGCGAGUCGAGCGAGAACCGUAGCAAUACGGGGACAGCGGCGAAGGGGACAGUAAUAUGUAGGUACCUACUCUCGGGUCCGGGAUAGCUGCGGGAAACUGCAGGUAAUACCGGAUGACAUCUCCGGAUCAAAGGUGUGAUUCCGCCCGGGGAGGGGCCUGCACGCUCUUAGCUUGUUGGUGGGGUAACGGCCUACCAAGGCGACGAUGGGUAGCGGGUGUGAGAGCAUGACCCGCGUCAUUGGGACUGCGACACUGCCCAGACACCUACGGGUGGCUGCAGUCGAGAAUCUUCGGCAAUGGGGGCAACCCUGACCGAGCGACGCCGCGUGCGGGAUGAAGGCCUUCGGGUUGUAAACCGCUGUCGUAGAGGAGGAAAUGCAGGGGGGUUCUCCCCUCUGUUUGACCUAUUCUAGGAGGAAGGACGGGCUAAGUUCGUGCCAGCAGCCGCCGUAA
rnacentral:rRNA from 1 species